AAAAAAAAAAAAAAAUACAUAUAUAUAUUAUAUAUAUAUAUACAUUUAUCAUAUAUAUUUAUGAACCUUCUUAUAUAUACAUAUCUGAAAGCAAAAGUAUAUAUAUUAUAUUUUUAUAUUUUAUAUCACACCUUGGAAGAACUAUUAAAAAUGAACUAUAUUUUAUAAUGUCUUAGGUUUGUAAGCUUCUGAAGCUAAAAAUUGUAUAUUAUUUAUAUUACACGAAAAAAAUGAAAUUAAAAAUAAGAAAUGAGAAAAAGUCUUAAUUAUAUAGGUAUAAAUAAAUUUAUGUAUAUAUGUAUAUAUAUAUAUAUAUAUACAUAUAUAUUUUAUAUUUAUAAUAAUGUUAAUUCAAAUUGUUAAUUUAUAAUAUCUACAGGAAAGGAAAAACAAAAAUAAAAAUUAAUAGUAAAAAUUAUAUAAAUAAUGUGUCUGUUAUGGAAGGUUCAUUAUACAAUAAUGUUUAUUAGGACGUCAUUUUUAAAUUAGUUCUUUAUUUAAUUACUAUCACUAAAAGCAUAGAAAGUUUGUAAUCUGGUAAAAACUAUUUAAAGAAGGAAACUGAAAAAAAAGAAAAUUUAUGUAGCUUAAAAAAAAAA
rnacentral:sRNA from 1 species